rnacentral:rRNA from 1 species
UUAUAGUGGGGGAUAGCCUUUCGAAAGGAAGAUUAAUACCGCAUAAGAUUGUAGUAUCGCAUGAUAUAGCAAUUAAAGGAGCAAUUCGCUAUAAGAUGGACCCGCGUCGCAUUAGCUAGUUGGUGAGGUAAUGGCUCACCAAGGCGACGAUGCGUAGCCGACCUGAGAGGGUGAUCGGCCACAUUGGGACUGAGACACGGCCCAGACUCCUACGGGAGGCAGCAUG